rnacentral:lncRNA from 1 species
UCUGGUGGGACCUCUGACAUGGCAGUGGGGAGACCAGGGACAGAGGCCUGUGGCCCAGCAUUCAGGCAUCAUUGCAUCCCAUGUCACAUUGCAACUGUCUGGUUACCAUUUGCAGAGUUUGUAGUGGGGAUGGAGGCCUGGCUGAGUCGUCUAGGCAAAGGGAUAAAUCCUGACAAUGGAUAUGGACAGAAGAUGAUCACCCCUCCUUCUUUCUCCACAUGCUGCAAAAUGAUGAUUAUAUCUCUCAGUAAAUUGCAGAAGACCAUGGAGUGAGUGCAAACAUUCAGGUACAGUUCUAGAAUGCAGAGAUCUAUGAUCAACUUAAUUAAGACUGACAAUUUCGAACAGAUCUGGGAGAAGAAAGAUUUAGUCUUAUUCUAAGAGUUAACCAUACCCUGGGGUGCAACAGGUCCAGGGCUGCCAAUGGCUGAGGGAAGGGAUUGUCCCGCUCUGCUCUGUACUGUGCAGCCUCACCGCCAGCACUGGGUGCAAGGUUGGAUGACACAGUGUAAAAAGGAUAUAAAACGUUCGGAGAGCACCCAAAGAAGGGCUGUGAAGACAGUCUGGGAGGCAAGAUGAGGAGUAGUUGAAGUCCCUUGACAUAUACAGCCUGGAGAAGAGGAGGCUGAGGGGAGGCCUCUUGGCAACUGCAGCUCCUCACAGGAAGUGGAGGGGCACUGCUGAGCUCUGCUCUCUAGUGACUACAAAGAAGCAGGGUCAGGACCUGAGGGAAUGGCAUGGAUCGGCAUCAUAGGAGGGUCAGGUUGGGUAUCAGGAAAAGGUUCUUCACCAAAGGGUGGUUGGGCACUGGAACAGGCUGCCCAGGCCUGGCAUCGAGCUACCAGAGUUCAAGGAGCAUUUGAACAAUGCACCCAGAUGUUUUGAUUUUGAGCAAUCCUUUGUGGGUCUCUUCUACCUAAGGGUAUUCUGUAGUCAUAUGCUUCUAUGAUUAUUCUGAUGAACUUCUGCAUGAAGCUGAUAGACUAUUUCUAGUAUACUUCUAGUAUACUUGGGCCAAGUCUAUGUCUCAUCUGGUUGAUGGUAGUUCAGGUGUUUUUAUGAUGCAUAGUGUUUUGCUGUGUAGAUGGUAUAGAUGCUACCAAUUACUGCUUUUCAAUGAAAACUUCAAAACUUUCAUUUAGAUAACCAAUGUAUGGUUAGUAGUAUUACUACCUUUUUCCUUUAAAUUGGAAACAAAAAGGAAGAGUGAUCCAGAGCACAUAGCAAACCACGUACUACUAUGUACUACCGCCAGUUUCGACAAUUUUACUUUCAAUCUCAUAAUCAGAAAAUAUAAUAUCAACAUGUUAAAAUAGGAUGUAAUCUAGAUAGUCAUAAUGGAGAUGGAUUUCUUCAGACAAAUUGCAUUUAAUCUUUAAAAAUUUUGGAAAUCAUGUGAAAAAUCCCAACAUUGAUAAUAUUUUCUUUUCCACAAGCAUUCUUACUGUUUAAAUUAAUUUUUCUAAUUAUUUUAACACCAGGCAUUGUGAAGCAGAGGAAGAACAGGAAUAUAAUACUCAGUCUAUCUCUAAUGAUUCUGUGUCAGCUAACCAAUAAGUAAAGGUGAAUUGCACCUUUGAUAAAGAGCAUGCAAAAGGAUAAAAAAUAAAAGACUGUGAGAAAGAAUAAUAGAAUGAAAG